CCCGCCUGGCCCAUGUUUCUUCAUUUCGUGCUCUCCCGUGAGAUGCCUCACUUGCAACAAGUGGCGCCCGAACAGGGACCUGGGACUCUGGAGAAGAAAAGAAAAACCUUGAUGCUGUGCAAACAAGAUGGUGUGGAAGGACCAAUAUGGGUUCCCAAACAUAACAUCAAGAUCUGUGCCAGAGCUGACCCAGAGACUCCAGAGGCUUCAGUUACAGGACAUACGAAAGGAAAAAAUAUCAAGGAAGGGAUGCCCAAGGCGGCAGAGAAGGACAACAACGACAUUAUUACAGAUGUUGAUGAUGCUGCAAUUGACCACUCUUGAGGCAAAGACUUUACAGCUUUGGAUAUAUGUCAACAAUCCCCCAUGGCUGAGAUUGCUUACAUGGGAGGACAAGGUUACCAACGUUAUACCUAUAGGAAAAGCAGCAGAAAUUUUUGGACAUGGGGAUUCGGGGAUUAAAGGAAUGAAAGAUGUUACAGGGUAUAACUUUAAAGGGAAAACUGGCACACCCCCAAUAUGUUUUGGGAUAAAUGUAACUUCUAUAAAUUACUGUAUUAAGUUGGAGAAUAUCACUCUCUGCUCAAGUGGCUCCACAAGGAGUGGUAUGGAACAUAUCUAUGUUUGGGAUAAAAAUUGUCGAGUCAGUAGAGAAGCCAAUUCAUUUCUCCCCUUGGCCACAUUGUUUUAAUGUCUCGGUAGUUAGAGAAUGGCACAAAGUUCCACCUUGGAUAAAAUGUCACACACCGUAUAGAGGAAUAGCCAAUUACAGCUGGGAGAGAUUUGAAGUUUGGAAUAAGCUAGAGCAUAAUGAGAAGGGAGCUACACAGGGGUGGAUUAUGCCAGGGAUUGUCAGUCAACAAGGUGUAUAUCAGGAAGAAAUUUGGUUAGCAAUGGCGGCUUUUGACACAAUAUAUAUACACGCUGCUAACCCCAGUGAAAGAAACGUGGUCCAUAAGUACAAUGAGACGACAUUAACUGCUUGCUUGCCAAAACAUCAGGCAUUUUUUUAGGGAGACCUAACAUCUCCAAAACAUCUGAUGGGUAUUACUUGAUUAAAUGCAAAAAUUGUUCUGUAAAUCUAUGUCUGCAAUCCAAACAUGGAACAUGGGAAUAUACAGCUAUGAUUUUGGAAAGACCACAGUAUUCUGUAUUCCCUACACAAGUGAACGAGAGAUGGUUUUUGGCCCCCACAGAUCAAACAUUUUACUAUUUAGAACAGGGAGUUACUCUGGGAAAGAAACGAUGCACAGAGUGUGUGAUAUGGGGAAUUGGAUCUUUGGUGUCACUCAUUUCAUCUAUCAUUGCAUCGUCAGUGUCAUUUGAUACAUUUACACAACAACUACAGGAGGCACAAUAUACCAAAGCAUUGGCUCAGAAUGUAUCAUUAGCACUCCAGAAACAAGGAGAGAUAGAUGUACAUUUUCAACAAAAAUUAGAUGCUUUAAAAGAUUCUGUAGAAUUUAUUGGAGAUGAGCUUGCAGAGAUGGAAUUUCGAGCUACAUUAAAAUGUGAUUAUCGCUUUACCAUGGUGUGUGUUACACCACUGCCUUAUAAUUCAAGCAUAGUAAAGUGGGAUAUGAUUAGAAAUCAUUUAAAAGGUAUUUGGCAUAAUAGCAGUUUUACGGCUGAUUUAUCUUUCCUGACUAAUAUUACUCAUGAUAUUGCUGACAGUCACUUCCCAGGGGCACGUCCUCAAAACCUAGCCCAAGAAAUUUUGGACAGAUUGGAUGCUACUAAUGUAUUUAGAAAUAUACCUGCGUUACUGCUCCAUUUACUUUUAUGGACAGUAUUCAUUGUCAUAUUAUGUUUUAUUCUUCCUUGUACGACUGCACUGAUCAAAUCAUGGUUCAAAUCUUUGGAUACAGAUGUUCAUCGCUUCAAGUUACUUGCAAAACAAAAAGGGGGAAAUGUAGAGGGCCAGCUCUGAGGAGUCCAAUUUGAGCUGAAGAAUCCAGGACAGAGUUUAACUCUUGCCUGUUCUUGCCCUCAAAGGCUCACAUUCUCAGGAUGUUGGCUCACCAUUCUCCCAUCCAAGAGGAGGUUCUCAAAACAUUCUGCCUGAUCCUUUAACCCUGAUAACAGGCAGGAACCCUGAUAACAAUAGCAGUCACGUAUUAGGGCAUGGGAAUGAUUCUUUGAAACUAUGUAAUUUUGCCUAUAUAUACUGUGACCCUCAGAUGAAUAAACUGCUCAGUCUUCAUUGA